UGCACGCCCCACACUGGGGAUCGAGCCCACAACCGGGGCCUGUGCCCUGACUGGGAAUCGAGCCAUGACCUCCUGGUUCAUAUGUCAAUGCUCAACCACUGAGCCACGCUGGCCGGUUGACAUGGAAACUCCCCUCUACUUAACAUAGACAUAGUAUUUGAUAUCUUUUGCACUUAACAUUCUGUCUUAGGAUAAGUCAUUUUACGAAAUCCUAGGGUGUCAUUUGCAACGGACUCAUUUUAUGUCUUAUGUUUAUUGACUUACAAUUUUUAUAAGAACAUGAAACACGUAUGUAUUAAGCUGAACUGUCCCAUUUUAAAAACUUCUACCACAGUGCAGCUCAUAGUAAGACAGGGUUCAGGAUGAAUACAUAGUGUUGGCUGCCAAAGACUUCUGGUUCACCCAGAACGAAAAGAUCUCAUUGAAAACGUAUUACAUUACGUCCGGCAGCCAUAGCCGGCGGCCAUGUAAUUUCUGGACGGAAAGGGGUAAAAGAACAUUCCUGUUUUUCUUUCUUAACGUGGUUUCCCUGCCAAGGUUACCGGGGCUGAGGCUCGAGAGGGGCUCACACGUGGGCACCUUCGUUCUUACUCAUGGGACAGAUGGAGCCUCUUUCAGUUUCUUGAAAAACAGAUACCCAGCCGUGCGGGGGGCGCAGCCUCAGGGUUGAAUGAACCACUUCCUCCCGACACCGAGCGACUCGCGAUGGCUCUCAGACUCCUCGCUGCUCUUCGCGAGAGCGAGACUGCGGAAUGCACUGAACCCAACUCGUCAGGGCGCUGGUGCCUCAACCUGUGAGGAGGCUCGUCUUCUCGGGCCAGAACCACCUCCACGGCUUCAUCCUCGGAGGGACCGAGUGGGUGGACCUAGCAGGACGGCCACAUGAGAAGGCCUACCCCAGGUGGGCUGUGGAUUGGAGAGCCCUGGCCGUCUCCAUGCCCAGCUGCCACUCCUGGGAGGACUCUCCUCCGCCCGGACUCACAGAGGGAGGGUUUGAAAGACAGAGUGACUGCCCGGCCGGUGUGGCUCGGGACUCCGUGCUGGCCAAGGCCUCACCUGACGACACUUCACCUGGGAACGGCCAACCCUGCCCAGGCCCAGGCUCAGCUCCAGGCUCGCCGAGCAAGUGGUCCAAGGCCCAGUCCUGUCUGAGAUGUGUGGAAAGCUCCAUGUGCUUUUGCUGCGCGCCAGGCCCCUGUCCUGGUGGCCCCACUGAUGCAGGGAGUGUCCCGCCCGCCGUGUCCCCCCAGGUGUGUGCGUGCAGGGAGCUGGAGAACCGUCCAUCCAGUGAUGCUCAAAGGAUGCCCCAGGCCAGCAGCUCAGCACCCCUGAGAGGUGUUAGCCACGCAGACCCCCAGGCCUAACACCAGCGCCACGCAAUGAAAGACACAAGGCGCGGCCCAGGAAUCGCUGCUUUAAUGUAUUUUCAUUAUUUCAGAGAGGAAGGGAGAGGGGGAGAGAGAGAAACAUCAGUGAUGAGAGAGAAUCGUGGAUCGGCGGCCUCCUGCAUGCCCCCCACACGGGGAUCGAGCCCACAACCCGGGCCUGUGCCCUUGACCCGAAUCAAACUGUGACCUCCUGGUUCACAGGUCAACACUCAACCACUGAGCCACACUGGCCGGGCAGGAAUCGCUGUUUUAAAAAGCCCUUUCGGUGAUUCUGACACAUAAUAAAAUUUGAGAUCCACUGUC